rnacentral:tRNA from 1 species
CAACAAAUAUUUUAUUUAAAAUACUAAUUUUGGGUAUUAGAGAAAUAGUAUAUUCUAUUUUGUUGA